GAAUAAUGGUGAACUAUGCCUGGGCAGGGCGAAGCCAGAGGAAACUCUGGUGGAGGUCCUUAGUGGUCCUAACGUGCAAAUUGAUCGUCUGACCUGGGUAUCGACGAAUUAAACCAUCUAGUAGCU
rnacentral:ncRNA from 1 species